AGACUGACGUUGAAACACUGGUUCCCGUAUGAUCACCGAAGUUAAGCAACGUCGAGUUUGGUCAGUACCUAGAUGGGUAAUCACUUGGGAAUACUGAUGCCGUAAU